UACGAAGGGGGCUAGCGUUGCUCGGAAUGACUGGGCGUAGAGGGCGCGUAGGCGGUUUGUACAGUCAGGUGUGAAAUUCCCGGGCUCAACCUGGGGGCUGCACUUGAUACGUAGGAACUGGAGUGGGGAAGAGGGUCGUGGAAUUCCCAGUGUAGCGGUGAAAUGCGUAGAUAUCGAGAGGAACACCUGCGGCGAAGGCGGGUUGCUGGGCCGACACUGACGCUGAUGCGCGAAAGCCAGGGGAGCGAACGGG
rnacentral:rRNA from 1 species